GGUAAUUCCAGCUCCAAUAGCGUAUAUUAAAGUUGUUGCAGUUAAAAAGCUCGUAGUUGAAUUUCGGGAUCAAGUCGUCGGUCGUGCUCAGGUACGUACUGGCGUCAUUGAUUUCUCCCUUCUGACGAACCAUGAUGUCAUUAAUUUGGUGUUAUGGGAAAUCAGGACUGUUACUUUGAAAAAAUUAGAGUGUUUAAAGCAGGCUCACGCUUGAAUACAUUAGCAUGGAAUAAUGAAAUAGGACGUUCGAUCCUAUUUUGUUGGUUUUAGGAUCAACGUAAUGAUUAAUAGGGAUAGUUGGGGGCAUUAGUAUUCAAUUGUCAGAGGCGAAAUUCUUGGAUUUAUUGAAGACUAACUACUGCGAAAGCAUUUGCCAAGGAUGUUUUCAUUAAUCAAGAACGAAAGUUAGGGGAUCGAAGACGAUCAGAUACCGUCGUAGUCUUAACCAUAAACUAUGCCGACUAGGGAUCGGAUGAUGUUAAUUUUUUAAUG
rnacentral:rRNA from 1 species